rnacentral:rRNA from 1 species
UGGGGAAUAUUGGACAAUGGGCGCAAGCCUGAUCCAGCCAUGCCGCGUGAGUGAUGAAGGCCCUAGGGUUGUAAAGCUCUUUCACCGGUGAAGAUAAUGACGGUAACCGGAGAAGAAGCCCCGGCUAACUUCGUGCCAGCAGCCGCGGUAAUACGAAGGGGGCUAGCGUUGUUCGGAUUUACUGGGCGUAAAGCGCACGUAGGCGGACUUUUAAGUCAGGGGUGAAAUCCCGGGGCUCAACCCCGGAACUGCCUUUGAUACUGGAAGUCUUGAGUAUGGUAGAGGUGAGUGGAAUUCCGAGUGUAGAGGUGAAAUUCGUAGAUAUUCUGAGGAACAUCAGUGGCGAAGGCGGCUCACUGGACCAUUACUGACGCUGAGGUGCGAAAGCGUGGGGAGCAAACAGG